ACUGAAGGUCUGGUUGCAAAAGAUCCCAGCAACACAGCUAAAGUGCUGCUGGCCUCCUUCAACUCUAUCUACAUGUCAAUACAAUGUUUGUAAAACCAUUUAAGCCAUUAUGAAUAUAAAAAUCUCCAUUGAUUUUUUUGGCAUUGCCUAAGGAAAGGUCAGAGAGGAUUUUGUACAUAGUUUUGAAAAGCCCUCACAAAUACUAUUGACUAUUUUCCUCAGGAUUUGGUGACUUGUCUUCACUGUGGUUUCCCCUAAAAUGCAGCUAAUUGAGUGUAUGUACAUCAAGCAAAAAACUAAUUUAUUACAGGUCAUUUCUGAUGCACAGUCACAAUUAUUUUAGAGUAUAAUGAAAUAAAGCUUGAGUGGCUUUUUUAAUUAAUAUACACUAUCAGUUAGAAUUUUAGACACACUAAAGCUCUGUUUAAUUCAUGUUAUUGAAUGGCAAAUGGUGCUUUGCUGGAAUUAGAUGAUCGAGCCAAGAUGGAGGUAUUCUUUAAACAGCACAAUGCCAUGUUGGACCUGCCCAGCACACAGGGCAACCAGACCAUGAGCCACAGGGCUACAUGAGCAAGUAUGAGCCGGAAAAACAUUUGAGCAAAAGCAUAAACUUCUCCUCAGUCACUCUGCCUGGCAUGUUCCAGCAGACUAUCAAGAGUUACUUAUAUCAUACAGAUGACCUCAACAGAUAAAGACCGUAGUUUUGGAGUUAUCUGCCAAAUAACAAGGCAUAAUUAAUAAAUGAAAUAAAGCAUUUUAACAAGUAAAAAAAUUAUAGAGCACUGCAGUGAUGACAAAUGUUUGUUAGCCAACCUGGAAGUUCAAAUCACCCUGGUUCCCUCGACAAAAACAUAAUAGGAUUUUUCCAUUAUCAUUUGGAAUAUAGUAGAAAAUAAGCUCCGUGGGCAAUGGAAGUUUAUGAUUCUUACACGUUUUGUUUAUCAUGAUAAUGUUCACAUAUGAACUCAACUUGUAUGCAUUUUGAAACCUAAAUACAAUAACCGUAGCCUUGUAAAGGAACUGCACAAGUCUAGUUUCACUAACAUCAUCACUAAGCUUCUGACACUUUCAGUCUUUUAAAAACAUUUUCCCUGAAGGUUUGAGCUCAAAUAGUUUGCAAGAGUGCAAUUAAAAACACAAAGAAGCUAUGAAAGCAGAAAAGUGAGGCCUGGUGACAUUUAAUGCCCCCUGAUAAAAACCCAUUAACUUCAGUUUCCGGGAUUUGGCCUACAAAAAUAUGUUAUCCCUACAGCACUCGAUAGCAUCCUAUUUUUCUAUGAAUGAGCCUCCUGUGUUUUUGUUCAUGACUCAUAUUACUAACCAGAUUGUUUGAUGAUGCAAGGAGGUUUUUAAAGCCCGGGACAAUCUGGGGAAUUCAUCAGCGCAGUCGACUUGCAUCUGGUGGCUGAAAUGAACCACCCUGGAGGUGGCCGCAAUAAUAUCCCCCAAUGACUCAAACGCCAGUUCUGUGUGUUUAACUGCACUCAGCCAUCCGACCCCUCCAUAGAUGAGAUCUUUUAAACACUGGCCAGUGUAUAUUUCUGCUCAGACAGAGGCUUCCUGGAAGAGGUGACCUCUAGCUGCUGCCCUGGUCCCCACCUGGAGAGUGCCCUUGAGAGUGUGGCAAACGGUCGAAGCUAAGGAAAAGGAGGCUGAACGAGUGAAGCUCUUGGAGGAAGUGACAUCGAACAGAAGAUGUAGGAGUUGGAGAGCAAUCUUCUGUACAAGUUAACCAGCGUUCAGGGCUCUCUAGGGGAAGAUGAAUCUCUUAUUGAGGUGCUCAGAGUCACCAAGACUAUUGCACAGGAAGUACUUUCUUCUGUUAUAGUCAUGUGCUUUUAAAAUGACUUAAAAAGCUGAAUCACAAUUCUGUUUUGAUAGCUAAAAUCUCCUGCCAUCCCUUGGUAAGUCAAAAGCUAACAGUUGCUGCAGAGACUGAAAUGAACAAACCACACUCAAGAGGAGUACCAUUCAGUGGCAACCAGGGGGAGCACCCCUUGUGGAGAUGAGCUUGGUCAGUGUGAUAUACGUGUGUAACUUCACCACGUCAGUUUCUGGACAUCAUUGAUAUGUCCCACAUUACAGCUAAAAGACUAGACAACAUCAUGGAGUAUCUCACUUUUGAAGUGUUUCAAUAUACAGCUCGAGGACUCGAUGAAGAUCACAAGUUCCUUUGUACGCUGCUUCUAAAUUUAAAAAUAGACCUACAAGACAAAAAUGUUUCCCACAAUGAAUUUCAGACCUUCAUAAAAGGCGUAGCAUCUCUGGACCUAAACUCUGUCAAGCCCAAGCCAAGGCACUGCAUGCUGGACACAACACUGAUGCAGUGUCAAAUAUUUAAGAGGGUGUUCCUUGCAAGCCUAUCUCCAUGGGACAGGGACAGGCAGGACAUGUCUGAUGGAGGUUGGUUACUUCUGCAGAAAUGCCAUCUGGGAUGGCAGAUGGCAUUACUACAACAGAGAACAUCCAUGACAAUUUCAGCUUGUGGGUGACCACAGAGGUCUUCAAUUAAAUUCACCAACGAGCCUCCACAAGGGAUGAAGGCCGGACUGAAGCAGACAUGCAAUAGUGUGACCCAGGAACAGCUGGAGAUCUCCAACAUGCCUCAGUGGAGACUUGUUUCUUUUCUACGCUGUGGCCUUCCUCCACACCACAGUCCAGGUAUUUGGCAUCUAUUCCAAUGCUGACAUCACCUGCCAGACAAACAUGGCUAAUGAAACCAUGAGCACAAUCCUCAACAUCCAACCCAAGGACAGCAGUUGCAGGGAGGGCGAGAUCAGGGAGUCAUCUGUCCUUCCUGCUGACCUAACUUCCUGCUGACUGUGUGCCACAUGAGGUGAUGAGUCACACACAAAAAUGGGAGAGUUCCAGCCCAUGACUAUAUUUCUUCGUCAAGAGCUUGACAGAAUGCAGCGUGUCAUUGGUUGUGUCCGCAGUGCCCUCAUUGAACUUAAACUUGCCAUUGAUGAAUCUCUGUGACGCUCUGGACAGCCCAUAAAGUCCUGGCAGAAGAUCUCUUGGGAAGCUGCCUCACUGGGUUUCUGGUUCACCAAACUCCUUGAGAGUUCAGCAGUCCCACAACUGGACUUUUAGUGGUUGACCUCAUCAGUUUUGGCUCACAGGGUUUUUCAAUCCACAGCAUUUACCUGGUAAUACACAUGACAACUGCCACAAUAAUGGCGAUCUGCACGGCUCCGAUGAUAGCAGCUAUGAGCACAUAAUGAAGUUUCUGACCGCUGGGUACUACAUACAGG